rnacentral:rRNA from 1 species
CCAGACUCCUACGGGAGGCAGCAGUGGGGGAUAUUGCACAAUGGGGGAAACCCUGAUGCAGCGACGCCGCGUGGGUGAAGGAGCACCUCGGUGCGUAAAGCCCUAUCGGCAGGGAAGAAAAGCGAACAGGUUCGCCUGGACGGUACCUGACUAAGAAGCCCCGGCCAACUACGUGCCAGCAGCCGCGGUAAUACGUAGGGGGGAAGCGUUGUCCGGAUUUACUGGGUGUAAAGGGCGUGUAGCCGGGCUGACAAGUCAGAUGUGAAAUCCGGGGGCUCAACCCCCGAACUGCAUUUGAAACUGUUGGUCUUGAGUAUCGGAGAGGCAGGCGGAAUUCCUAGUGUAGCGGUGAAAUGCGUAGAUAUCAGGAGGAACACCAGUGGCGAAGGCGGCUUACUGGACAGUAACUGACGUUGAGGCUCGAAAGCGUGGGGAGCAAACAGGAUUAGAUACCCCAGUAGAU